GCAGCGUAAGCGUUGAGGGACCUUGCCAAGGUUGGGGUCGAGGGUUCGAAUCCCUUCGCCCGCUCCA
rnacentral:tRNA from 1 species